rnacentral:lncRNA from 7 species
GCGGCGGCGGAACCCGGAGGGGCGAGGAGCUGUCCGGGCGGCGGGUGCUGAAGGCCCGCGGGCGGUGGGUGCGGCGCUGAGGAGGGGAGCGGGGAAGUUUCGGUGCCGUGUUCGCGGGGGGAUGUUUACAGGAAAGGGAAGGGCGGCGUAGGAUGGACAGAACUAGGGAAUCUGUUGCCGUGUGUGACAUCUCUUGCGAGCUCCCAGAGAGAACUGAUGGAGCAUACAGCUAGGGAAUAGGAUGCUGGAGAAGCUCAGGGGGAGACGCCAGGCAAUCACCAGGACGGGGAGGAACGGCGCUCGUUGGAUAUGGGACGAGAUCUCGCAGCCCUUGUGGAUUCUCCUUCCUCUAGAGGGGAAUUAUAGUUAUGGAUUUAUUGUCCCGGUGCAGCACUUCCACCAGCGGCAGCAG